UUUUAUGGAGAGUUUGAUCCUGGCUCAGGAUGAACGCUGGCGGCGUGCCUAAUACAUGCAAGUCGAGCGAACAGACGAGGAGCUUGCUCCUCUGACGUUAGCGGCGGACGGGUGAGUAACACGUGGAUAACUUACCUAUAAGACUGGGAUAACUUCGGGAAACCGGAGCUAAUACCGGAUAAUAUAUUGAACCGCAUGGUUCAAUAGUGAAAGACGGUUUUGCUGUCACUUAUAGAUGGAUCCGCGCCGCAUUAGCUAGUUGGUAAGGUAACGGCUUACCAAGGCAACGAUGCGUAGCCGACCUGAGAGGGUGAUCGGCCACACUGGAACUGAGACACGGUCCAGACUCCUACGGGAGGCAGCAGUAGGGAAUCUUCCGCAAUGGGCGAAAGCCUGACGGAGCAACGCCGCGUGAGUGAUGAAGGUCUUCGGAUCGUAAAACUCUGUUAUUAGGGAAGAACAAAUGUGUAAGUAACUAUGCACGUCUUGACGGUACCUAAUCAGAAAGCCACGGCUAACUACGUGCCAGCAGCCGCGGUAAUACGUAGGUGGCAAGCGUUAUCCGGAAUUAUGGGCGUAAAGCGCGCGUAGGCGGUUUUUUAAGCUGAUGUGAAAGCCCAGGCUCAACCGUGAGGGUCAUUGGAAACU
rnacentral:rRNA from 1 species